rnacentral:rRNA from 1 species
UACAGAGGGGGCAAGCGUUAUUCGGAAUUAUUGGGCGUAAAGGGCGCGUAGGCGGUUUCUUAAGUCAGAUGUGUAAUCCCCGAGCUUAACUUGGGAACUGCAUCUGAGACUGGGAGGCUAGAGUACUGGAGAGGGUGGUGGAAUUCCUCGUGUAGCGGUGAAAUGCGUAGAGAUGAGGAGGAACACCAGUGGCGAAGGCGGCCACCUGGACAGUAACUGACGCUGAGGCGAGAAAGUGCGGGGAGCAAACAGG